UUCAAAAGGUGAGAAAUUAGCCUGGUAAGAGGUGCACCUUAAUUUAAGUAGGGCUAAAGGAAGGAGACUUACUUAAUUUACACUGUUUUUUUAAGAUUAAUUUUAUAAGAGUGUUUUUUAGGGUGUGGUUCAUGCGUUCUACUUGCCUGGAGCUCUGGGGUUGAUAGGCACAAUGGAGCUUCUGUUGAAUGUUUAACGCCUUACUGACUGACUGAGCUAUAGGCGAGGUGAAGGCUGCUCUAUUAUCAGACUUUAUGGCAGCAGGCAGCCUAUAUUGAGGGAUGAUUUCAUUGAGUAAAAACUUAACUACUAUGUUGGUGGUUUCGUUUUCGGUAGCAAAUGCCUUAGUCUAUCUGGAGAAGGUGUCUACUAGUACUAGAAGAAACUCCUGGAGGGCAGAGGCAUGCCUGCCAUCUUCAUCAUUGCAUUACCACCACCCAACACUAUCGGGGGACCUGCCCUGAUAAUCAGUCUACAGGUGUAUCCAGCAGCUCCAGAGAGACAGCGACCAGCGAGAAGGGGCCAUGAUGAUGGUGGUGGUUUUGUCAAAACGAAAAGGGGGAUA
rnacentral:lncRNA from 1 species